AUUGUUAACGUGCUGGCUGAAAGAAUCUCCGUAAUGUUUUAAACUAAGUUUUUGCCAGAGACAUAUUCAAUUCGUUGGUUUAAAGCAGUAAUGAAGUUAAACAAUCACCUCUCUCUGGAGUAUGCUGGGAGUGGGUGUGACUAGCAUGAGAGCUGCAUGUGUGGUGAUUUAUUUGUGUGUUUGGAGUCGGCAUGGCCGGUCAGCAUGGCAGCAGGAGGAUUUGCUGUAGGACAUGUGAUUCGCUCAUGCCCGGAGAGAGCAGGUGAGAGCCGGCCAGCUGCUCACGCAGAGGAUCCGCCGCCCGUUAAAGCCGAAAGCGGAGGCUCGGUACCGGACGGACCGCAGGGAAGCAUGCAGGCCUCGCAGGAGGAAACCCGAGACAAUAGCUAUCUUCGAGGGUGAACAAAACGAACAAGAUGGUGUAACGGAGGAAGUGUUGCCUAAUGAGACAGACAACUGCCAGGAAAGAUCACACAUUCAUGUCUGUGUUACCAGAGGUCAUAAAUUUACACAAAGACUGUCAGCCAGUGGGGACAUGGGAUGUCAAAGCAUAGACAAAAGCUUAUUUAUGUAUCAACAGUUCUGCGUAAGUAUCCUCGUUGGCAAACCAUUUUCUGAAAAUUUGUUUAUAGUUGAAACAAAACGCACGAUUCUUUUAAAACACCGUCUUUAAAAAAAGGUGUUUUUUUUUUCUUUUCUUUUUUUUAAACCCUUAAAGUACCUCGUUUGGAAAGCAGGCUAUGUAAUCAAUAUCUUUCAUUUUCUUCAGACAUGUCACUUCAGUCUCCA
ensembl:lncRNA